rnacentral:rRNA from 1 species
GACGAACGCUGGCGGCGUGCUUAACACAUGCAAGUCGUACGGUAAGGCCCUUUCGUGGGUACACGAGUGGCGGACGGGUGAGUAACACGUGCGUAACCUGCCCACAACUUUGGGAUAACGCUAGGAAACUGGUGCCAAUACUUGAUAUGUGCUCCUGCUGCAUGGUGGGGGUUGGAAAGCUACGGCGGUUGUGGAUGGACUCGCGGCCUAUCAGCUUGUUGGUGGGGUAGUGGCCUACCAAGGCGGCGACGGGUAGCCGGCCUGAGAGGGUGACCGGCCACAUUGAGACUGAGACACGGACCAGACUCCUACGCGUGGCAGAAGUGGGGAAGAUUGAACAAGGGGCGCAAGCCUGAUGCAGCAACGCCGCGGGCGGGAUGACGGCGUUCGGGUUGUAAACCGCAUUCAGCAGGGACGAAGCUGUUUGUGACGGUACCUGCAGAAGAAGCACCGGCUAACUACGUG